UUUCCUCACAUUCGUAAGCCUUCUAUUCACUGCACUGCCCACAAAAUGGGUAACUGGAGGGGAAAAGAACGGCGAGAGAAAAGUGAGAGGCCACCUCAUACGACGUCGACGCUAUACACCGAAGUUCGAUGUUGUAACUGGGCUCCUUCGACAUUC
rnacentral:snoRNA from 2 species